GUUUCACAGAUGAGAGGACCAAAGAAGAGGGAGGAGUGGAGGGCUGAGCCCCAGGCCACAGUAGUCUUGGGUGAAGAUAUGAUGCCUGGAACCAUGGCAACUGUCUUGUGACCAUGAGGCAUCAUCUAUUGAGGAUGGCGGAGCAGGACAGGGAGAACUGGACACUUGCUGACACAGUUGCAUCAUCCUUGGAACCACUGUUCUUGUCAAAUAAUAUCACACAUGCACCAGGAUCUUUUUGACAAGAUGAAUUGGCCAUGAGCCAGCUAUCUCCGGGACAAUUCCUCCGCAGCCCGCUUCCCCUGGAAUUUACCUUCAAAGAAGAAAGGCCUGCCUUCACCUCCCAUCGCCUCCGAAAGGCUUCCGCGCCAGGGCAGGCAGAGCCAGUGCGGCGGAGGUGUGGGUUCUGUGGGGGUGAUUUUGGAAGAAAGCCCCACACAGGCAGACGCUCAUGGGCACACCACACCCGUGCACACUGAGACAUGCACUCAUAGAUGUUACACUGCCGGGCACACAACGACACAGACGAAUGUUCAGACACACCAGGCACAGACCACAGACAAGCAGGCUGCCCCAGGGGCACACAGAAAGAUAGAGACACAAAGGCAGGCCCACUCAGCCGGGACGAGUGGGGAACAUGUGAGCUGCCCUCCUGCACACCGGCAGGGCUCCGCAGGCAGGCUGGCCACAGAGACGCCCUACAGUGAGGGAGGCGUAGGUGCUACCUCCAUACACCGCCAGUUACUCUGGGGCCAGGGCUCAAGUGCCUUCCUUGCACUGGCGGAGCCCACCCCCAUGUCCCAAGGAAGCCAGCACUCCUCAGCCCAGAGCCCAGGCCAUGCCCCCUCCCCACCCGAGCUCUCCCACCCUGCCUCACUCUCCCCACACUGAGAUCUGUUAGCCAAGGAGGUAGAGAAAGCCCGGUCAGCAGACCAUCAUUAGGUGGGGGUGUUUGCUGAAAUUGUCGGGGAGGCCCAUGAGGCAGUGAGAGUGGCUGGUGUGCAACCUUACCUAGAGAUUGGGGGCCAGAAACGGGGCGGGAAGAGGUUCUAGAGGACACUCUGCUUUGGCUGGCCCUGGGCCGGAGCCUCAAGAUGGCUUCAAACCGCCUGGGUUAUUAAAUGACACACUCCCCUCCCGCCCCUUCCAACAGCCCCUUCCCCCUCUCUCCUCUCUCUGCACGGAGUGGGUGGACAGCGGACUAGUUCUGGGGAAAGCCAAAGGGAGUAUUAUCUGAAGACCCCCUGUGUCAGGCCGUGCCUGGCAUUUCAAAUGCUUGAGCUCAUUGACUUUCCAAACCAUCAUGUGAGGUCAGUAUCUUUGUCCCCAUUUUGCAGAUACGAAAGAUAGCGCACAGUGUGGGCCCCUGACCAGUUGCUGUCUCUCUCCUGCAUCUGAGGAACAGACAAUGAGGCUCAGAGAGGUUCAAAAACUUGCCUAAGGCCACCGGCUGAUACUGAGGGAGCAGGAUUUGACCUCAGGACCGGCUCCAAAGCCAGUUUGUGGGCAGGCAUUUGGGAGCCGCUCUCCUGGAAGCGAGGUGGCAUGGUCACGGCCUCAGACAGCAAGCGCUUGCCUCGUUGGUGGCAGGUUUGGGGGCAGAGCCCUGGGGCUGCAGGGUGGCCUGGGCUGAGAGCCUGACCUGGGAGCACUGUGGCGGGACAAGAGUGACAGGUGAGAGACACAUUGAGUUGGUAAGUUGCCUGACCUGUGUCCGCACGGCUGAGACACAAGGGGGCUGAUCUGAGGACAAUGACAGCUGUACCUACAGACAGAAUCCCUGGUGAUGUUUCUCUGUCACUCCCCUGCCUGCCCACCCUCCCCACCCUCCUCACCCUGCCCACUGAAUUGUCUGCUUAGAGAAACCGCAUCACGUCAUAAGGGGAAACUGACAUCUGGGCCAUUUAUUCAUUGUGUAAAUUUCAUCAGGUGCCCACCCUGUUCCAGGCCCUGGGGCUGCAGCAGAGCACCAGGCAGCACUCCUGCCCACCAGCUCGUGGGGAGACAGACAGCAAUGGACAUAGCAGUAACAUCCAGGGGUGGGGAAGGUGACCAGAAGAAACACAACUCUCAGGGUUGAUGGAGGAGGCAGGAGGGCGGGAAGGGACCAGGGUUGCAGAGACAGGAAGGCCACAAGCAGUGACUGAGCGGGUAUCUGGGAAGGACAAUUCCAGGCUGAGCAGACAAAGGCUGGGCACACCUGGUGGCUUUAGGAAGUCAGUGUGAUGGAGCUGAGUGAGCAGGGAAGAGUGGGGGGAGCAAGCAGAGGCCAGGCCUUGUAGGGCUUCGUGGGACACGGUGAGGACUCUGUGCUGAAUCUUCAUCUGUGGGCACCAGGGCCCACUGGGCAGGGGGUUGACAGCCCCAGCAGAGCAUCGCCCACUCUCCAACUGCUGGUGCUCUUCAGUAGAGGACUUCUGGUUCCCUGGCUUAGAGACUAAGCCCUCCUCCGUCCCCUUUAGAAAAAGGGCUUGCAGAAGCUGCUGAAAACUCCCUACACUGCUGUGUGCCAGCCAGGGCUGAGGAUCUGGACAAGGGCCCUGCAGGCCCCAGCUGGGGAGAGGAGCCAGGGCAAGACCUGGGAUGGAAUCCUGUGGCUUCCUGGCCCAGCUGUGCAGCCUUGAGCAAGUUGCUGGCCCUCUCUGAGCCCCAGGUUCCUUUGCUGUCAAGAAGAGAGCUGUUCCACCCAGAGUCAUGAGGCUCAAAUGAGCACCAGGAACCAAGUGCAUUGUAAAAUGUAAGAAUUCUGCACAUCUAGAAGUUUUUACUUAAAAUUGUUUCUCCCCUGUUGGGAGAAGGGGAAGGCUUCUCUGGGAGGGUACUGUGCCUCUGCCCUGCCCCACCUCCCUUCACCACGGUCUGGUCAGGUUUCCUUCAGGGCCUUCAUCCUGAACAACUAAGACGCUUCACUAGACUUUGAGAUCUAGCCCACUCAUGCCCACUUUCUCAACAAGGUUUCUGCUCAAGUUCAAGUCGGAAGCCACAGCCCAAAGAGCGAACCAGCUGUGCUCUACAACUGACACCUAGGCCUGCCCCUGGCCAGGAUUCAGAGACAGAGGGUCCACUGUGGCUGACAGGACCCGUGGGGCCUUCCUGCCUCCCCACAGCCCUCACCUCCGCCCCACACCCCCGCUUCGGUGAUUCUCCUUCUCUGUUCAUUAAUGACUUUCUAUAAAGACAAAUGUUUGUUUUUCA